rnacentral:rRNA from 1 species
UUAGCCUACGGGGGGCAGCAGUGGGGGAUAUUGCACAAUGGGGGGAACCCUGAUGCAGCGACGCCGCGUGGGUGAAGGAGCGUUUCGGCGCGUAAAGCCCUAUCGGCAGGGAAGAAGAUGACGGUACCUGACCAAGAAGCCCCGGCUAACUACGUGCCAGCAGCCGCGGUAAUACGUAGGGGGCAAGCGUUAUCCGGAUUUACUGGGGGUAAAGGGGGCGCAGACGGCAAUGCAAGCCAGGAGUGAAAGGCCUGGGCCCAACCCCGGGACUGCUAUUGGAACUGCAAGGCUGGAG